rnacentral:rRNA from 1 species
UGAAAGAUGAUCAGGUUGAUAGGUCUGAGGUGGAAGUGUGGCGACACAUGGAGCUGACAGAUACUAAUCGAUCGAGGGCUUAACCAUAUUU